rnacentral:rRNA from 1 species
GAGUUUGAUCUUGGCUCAGGACGAACGCUGGCGGCGUGCUUAACACAUGCAAGUCGAGCGGUAAGGCCCUUCGGGGUACACGAGCGGCGAACGGGUGAGUAACACGUGGGUGACCUGCCCUCCACUUCGGGAUAAGCCUGGGAAACUGGGUCUAAUACCGGAUAGGACCAACUGGUGCAUGCUGGUUGGUGGAAAGUUUUUUCGGUGGGGGAUGGGCCCGCGGUCUAUCAGCUUGUUGGUGGGGUGAUGGCCUACCAAGGCGACGACGGAUAGCCGGCCUGAGAGGGUGAUCGGCCACACUGGGACUGAGACACGGCCCAGACUCCUACGGGAGGCAGCAGUGGGGAAUAUUGGACAAUGGGCGCAAGCCUGAUCCAGCCAUGCCGCGUGGGUGAAGAAGGCCUU